UACUGAGGUGGAUGGAAAGAGCCCUUUCAAACUUCACUUGCAGUGGACAGUGUGAACCACACACAUUGUCUAGAAAAGAAAAAAAAAUUACAAAACAAACCCAAUAUUGCUAUAGAUAUCUCAAAUGGCUUCUCUGAUUUUCUCUCUCCUGCUAUUUCUUCACCUCUUACCUCAUCUCCCACAACACAGUUCUUCAACAACCCAGAACCCAUCAAGAACACAAAAACCCCUCCUUCCUCCACCCUGUCUCUAGAGAAAAAAACAAAAAAAAACAGAGACGACCUCUGGCAACCACCAUCGGAAGCAACCCACCAGCGCAAAAAAGAAAAAAAAUAAAUAAAUAUGAAAAUUUCCAACUUGUUUUCUAACAAAACCCUUUGGAUUUCUUUUUCUUUUGUUGCUCAAUCUCUGUUACUUGUUGAAUUCAAGUUAUGGGGAUUCCAAGGCCUAGAACGUGAAUAAGGGAGGAAGGAGCUCUGAAGAGAUGGGGUUCACAGAAGAAUCUAUCCUUGGUAAUCCUCUCUCAUAUAUAUAUAUAUAUAUAUAUAUUUCAGGUGUUGCAUUGAAAGAUUUCGCCAUCAGCUGCAUCUGAGUGAGAUGCCUACACCUUACAAUGGAUUUAACCUCACCCAAACUUCCAUCCUCCUUUUUGAUUGUUUCAUUUAUAAUAAAUAAUAAUAAUAUAAAAGAUACGAGAUGUUUAAUCUAAUAAAAGAGUCACAUAAUUAUUAUCACAUGGUCGCUUUUAAUCCUUAAUUAACUACAACCUCAUCAUUUCAAUCCCUUUAAAUAGUUUUAACCCUACUAAGUUAAAUUGUUGUGUCAACCAAGGGCUGUUAUGAAUUGUUAUCUUUAUGAUUAGUAUUUUUUGGUAACAAUGUCAUUUGCUUCUUGACCAAUAUAAGAUGCCGAUGAUGGGAACUACUUGCAGUUCUUUUUAAUUAGUGGAAGGAGAAAAUUUAUUGAUAAAAAUGAAAUGAACACUUAGGUGACAAAAUGUUUCAUUGCCGACUAAGUGUAUCUCAACUAAGUUCUCUUAUACAAAGCAAGCAAAUCAUGUGCACACCCAGACAUAAAAAUAAAAAGCCCCAAGGUUAGCAAGGCACCAACCAAAGACCACCAAAGAAAAUAAACCAGAAAAACAAACACCAUCUAAAUAAGUCCAAUAAUCCAACCAACAAAACUCAACAAGGCCAACAACCUACCAAGUAAAAGAAGUCAUCAAUCCAAAGCAGGAAGCUGCCACCCACCCACUCUGAUUUGCUCAACCACCAAAAACUGAAGACACUCCUCGAAACAUGAGCAGACCUUGAUCAACCCGUAUCGUUACUACUCCUAACAAGAAUUUACAACCCACAGCAAAAAAAUCAGAAAAACGCUCACAAAACCACCCAUCUAUUUGCAAAAACAGAGCAUGCAUGAACCUCUAUCUGCUCAAUCUGAUUUGCUAAUAAUUGAGUACAAAGUCAUCCACCGUAUAAUCCUUGAAAAUAUUAUUGGCCUUGGACCAACAUGCUACUCUCAAUUUAAUUGCUUCAGUAAUGGAAUCCCAACUGGGUUGAAUUCUUUAAAAACCCAAUUGAUUUCUAGCAAAUCCAAUUGACCAGAAAAUUGCUGAAGGAAUUACAUUCCAAACAUCUCUAUCCUUUUAACUGAUAGAAGUCCCCUGCCUCUACAAAAACAAACCAAAUCCUUGAAAAUAUUUUGAGUCCUUCAGACUUUCGUUUUCAGAACACUUGCAAGUCAAUUUGCUGAAGCCUUCUUCUAGUAGUGUUUGUUACAUUCUCUCAUCUUUCAAUUUGAUUUUAUGGUUGCUCAAAGAAAUCAGAAGUUGGCCAAAAAUUCAAUUAGUAUGAUUAUCUGAGUUUGUACUGAUUUUCUAGAUACUCUUUAUCAAUCAAUUUUCCCAAGAACAUUAAAAAUAGCAGGGGAAAAAAAAAAAAAAAAGAACUACUUGAAAAGCCUAACUAAAAUAGCCAAUUAACUGUAGAAACACAAGGCAUACUGAACCAAUUAAAAAGAGCAAGCUCAAAAAAACAGCCAAACAGACCAUAUAUUACAAUUCUACACCUGACUCACUGCAUGGAAAAAAUAGCUAUGAAUAAACCAAAUUAAAUAGCUACCGAUCCAUAAGCCAACUAUAAUAAUCCAACAGAACAAGGGAACAAGUCAAUAACUAACCAUGCAGCCAUACAUUGCUUUUUCUUAGGAAUUGGGAACUUGCAUCAGGCGAUAAAAGGGAGGGAGGAAAAAAAAUCAUUCGUAAACUUCUUAAAGACAAAAAGACAUUUCUUGAUUACUAGUGCACUGACAUUCCUAAAUAACUUCAGGCCACCAAAAACAUACAUGGUGUAUGUGUGGCCUACAUAAAAUUCCUCAUCGACAUCAAAAUAACAAUCAACCUAUGCCCCAAACCUGGGCAUGACUAGCCGUGGCCCGCAGGGCCUUAGCUCAAGGCACACGUAAGCCUAAACACAAAUCCAUAAUCACAUCGAAUAAAUAUAUCAAUAGUCCAGUAAAAAAUAAACCAAAACUCAAUCCAGUGACAUGUCACAAGUAUAAAUGGUAAAACCAGUCAUAACUAACUUUAAAAAAUAUACACUAAAUGGAACACAAGUCGCCCACAAAAUUAAAUAAUUCUAAAUAAAACCCAACCACAAUGUAUGCGCACAAUCGACAUAACAAGCUAAAUAAAAAAAAAGAAUGUCCUAGAGGUCCAUGUAAUUGAGUCUCCGAUAUGCCAUGAGUCCACUCUAAGUCCUUCUAUCACCUGAAAAUGAUAAACAACUAAGUCAGCUGAUAACUCAGUGAGUAAAAACAUAGAUAGGUCCCGUUUGGUAGAGCUGUGGGAAAGUGAUUAUAACUUAUAGCCUAACAGCUUAUAGCUUAUAACUGUGAACAUAAACUGAUUUUUGACUUAUAAAUUAAGCUUCUCCUCCCCCACUCGAAGAAUAAGUUGAUUUUUGACUUACAAGAUACUAUAAACUGUAUUAUUAAGCUGAACCAAACACAUCAAAAUAACUUAAAUUAAGCUAAAAGCUGAAAAUAAGCUGUACCAAACAGGACCAUAGUAAAUAUAGUAUUGAAAACAGGAUUCAAUUCCAAAAUAAGAUAUAUGUCACAGAAACUAGAUUAGCAUACAAUUUUAAUAAAAACAACCUGUUUCAGAAAGAAGGUUCCACAGUUCAACAGUUAAAACACUCAUGUCUCUCAAGAACAUAACAAAUGACAUUUUUCACUUAAAACAGAUUACAACAUGAUCAUCAAUAAUUUUUUGUGUACCAAGAAUAACUAGUAACAUGUCACAAAGUUCUCAAGGCAAUAAUAUCGAACCAAGACUCAUCCUCGAGGUGACAACCUGGGCCUUUUUUUUAAAAAUGAUCUGAUUGAAGGUCACCUAGCCUAGCGUAGCCUAGGUCUUUUCCUUACAAUCAUUGAGAACUAGAAUCAUCACAGCCCAACCCGGAUCUGCUCUCUAAUGGCCAGAGUUACCACAUAGUGGAAUAAUUUCCCUAGACUUCUAUAUAUAGAUAGAUGGUUCCAAUAAUCAAUACAAUGCAGUUUCUCAAAACAUGGUAAUUCCCCAUUAUGAACAUGAGACCAUAACAAAUAGAUUACAGUCUGUCAAGUUACACAUAUUUUAGAAAUAAUUUAAUUCUAUUGAUACUAUAAUAAUUUAUCAAAACAGUUUCGUCUUGACGCAACAAUUUAAUUUUUCAAUAGUUCAGGAUAGGGGAACAUUUAUAAAAAUAUGUAGCAUGCAACUACUCACCUGAACACAGUAUAAUAUAAUCCUCAAAUCGAAUAGGAAAGUCCAACUAGUGCCUUAAACCAAGUACAAAAACUAUAUGUCACUAAUAACUCAAAAAUACUAAAAAGAAUAAGAAACUAAGUAACCCCAAACUAAAUCACAUUAUCAUGACUCAACCCAACUCACCGUUACUAUUAAAUAAUACCUAAGUUCAUGUUCUUCAAGGUCUAAAAUUACCCAAGACAUGGGUUCAGAUCGAAACUUAACUAAAAGCAACUUUAAGAUAAAACAUAAUUUUAAACAAGUUUUCCCAAUCCAUUCGCUAAAUUUGAAACUUAAAAACCCACUCCACGUUGUUAGAAAAAAUUUCAAAACCCUCAAGAUAUCAACUAAUAUAUCCUAAGUUUCAAACCCAAUUGGUUUUAUUUGAUUUUCUUAUUAAAUUAAUUAUUUACAAUUAAUUAUAUCCAAACAGGUCGCUUUCUGCAGCACUUUAAAGAAAUUAAUGGUUCUAUUAGUAUACCCAAGCAAUCAACGCAAUGCCAAAUAUGUAAGAAACUAGACUCGUAACUGGUUCUAAAGGCACUGAUUUGAUAAUUUUUGAAUUUAUACCCAAAGAGAAUGACACUUCCGAAGUUACUAUUUUGUAUUAGUUUCUUGAACAGAUUUAAAUGCAUCAGUUUAUAUAGAUUUUGACUUCCAAAAAUUAUAAAAAAAAUUUAAUAUGCAAUUCAAUAUAUAAUUAAUGUACUGUAAAAAUUUCAAUUCAAAAUUCAUCCGUUUGAUAUGAUUUCUCGAUUUUUAAAGUUUGAGUUUGCGUGAAGAAUUUUUAGACUAAGAAUUACACCCAUUCUUUACACACAAUUUAUCUCUGCAGAUUUCUUGACACUUAUAUUAUAUACAAAAUACAUACACCUACAACCUCUCCAUCAAAGAAUUAUAGGAUAAGAAUGAAGAACAAAGAAAGAAGAAAAGAAAACCUACGAAGACUAUCCUUUCCUUAGUUGCAACUUUUCGUUUCUCUUCUCUCUCUCACGGCUGAUGCUGCUAGGGAAAUUGUUAAAAGAGCUAGAGUUUGUUUUCUUUCUUUUCUUUGUUAUACAUAACAUAAAAGACUAAAUAAUUAUCCUUUCUUUUAUUAUAUUUUCUCUCUCCAUUAAUUUAAACAAAAUACAACUAUUAUUAAUUUAUUAGAUCAAAAUAUACUUACUAAUUUGUCCCCAUUUUUUUAUUAUAAUAAAUCUUGCCUUUAAAUUAAAGACUUUCACCAUAAAUUUAUUUUAGGUUUAAAAUUAAUUAAAAGUCCCUCCAAAUAUUUAAUUGGUACUUUAGGAUUCAUCAUCAAAAUAUUUGAAAUUAUAAAAUUAUUACUACUUUUAUAAUUUAUUGGGCUAUCACAGUUUCCAAAGUGGGUUAAAUACAGACUAUUGAAAAGGUGGGUAUUUGACUCAUCUGAUCUAUAAAGGUUUUGGGUUUCAUUGAUGAUGUUUGCUCUGUUUUUAAAUUUCAUUUCAUUUCUAUUAAAUUUACCUUCGAAAUCUUUUCUUUUGUUUAUGCUUUUUAUUAUUAUUUUUUUUUUUUGGGGAGGGGGGGAUGGGGGGGCAUGUUCCAGGCAGAUUGGUGGCGGUUUGAAGGGAACUCCUCUACCGUGGUGAGUUUCAUGGCAAUCUAGCUACUGGGGUGAUGGUGUCGCGAAGUCAAAUGGUCAAGUUUGUCAACUUGACCAAUUUUGCUAGCCUCCUGUCGCAAGCCGAUUUCGAAGCUGAUUUGAAGAAAGCUAUUGAGGAUUUCAAACAACUCGUUCUGAAAAUAAAACUGUCCGGAAACUCAACAGCUCCUAUUGCUUUGACUUCGUUUUGCCGUCUUUGUGAUAAAGCCCAACUAAUCAGGGGAGCUAAGCUUGUGUACGUAUUCAUGUUAAAUUUUUGAAAAUGAUACACAUUCAUGCAUUCUUCAUAUUUACUCUUUGAUAUUUAUUUUCUUCUUAUUUGCAUGGGCUUAGCUUUCUUCAUUUACAGUAAUGCCCUUUUUCAUGAUGAUAACGACGGUUGCCAUCUAUUCAUGAGUGUUUGGAACUUUUAUUAAGGGCAAGCUGUGCACUGGUCUAUCUAUUCUUCAUUUCGAUAGGAGUGUUGUUAAUAUGAGUGGGUGGCAGAGUAUUUUGCAAGAUCCGCAAUUUGCUGCAUUGGAACUUAGCAAACGCCCCAAUCAAAGCCUUCGGUAUUGUUAACUUUCAUAGGAACUUUAUGGUGCACGUAGACAGUUGUUUGGUGAGUUAUUUUUUCUCUAUCUACUUUCAUAUUUUAUAUAUUGAAAUGUACUAUAUACUUACAUAUAAUAAUUGUUAAUUUAUUUAUUGAUGUUUUAAUGCAAAAAAUACCAAAAUUUCGUCGAAUGAAACAUGCUACCAAGUUACUAAGGGAAGCAUUUCCCGACUUUCCGGUGAAGUUUUUUUAUUGGAUUGCCACUCGUAUUCGAAAUCAUUAGUACAACUUUGGACAUUAUGGUUUGGUGUCACACAUCCAAGGAACCUGUUCUACCUUUUCAAGAAAUGCCAAUUUCAGCUUUUACAUUGUCCAAAUAAGUUGCAUCUUUGUAGAAAUUUUGGCCUCCUUUUUGAAGUUAUUAUUGUAAAAGUGAAGAGCAACUUUAACUAUUGUUUUUUAGUAUUAGGCUUUGUUUAUAUAUAUAUACAUUUAUAUGUUUUUGUUCACAUUAUUUUUAUUAUUAUCAUUGGUAUUGUAUAA